rnacentral:lncRNA from 1 species
AGAACUGAAUGCUAACCUCGAUCUUUAAAUUGGUAUUUGAUAGAACUGAAUGAUAAUCUCGACCUUCAGAUCGAUAUCUGAUAGAAAUUCAAAAUAACUUCGACCCUAAGAUCGGUAUAACCUCGAUCCUAAGGUCAGUAUUUUGUAGAGCUAAAAGAUAACCUCGAUUUUUAGAUUGGUAUUGAUAGAUAAUCUUAACCUUCAGAUCGGUAUUUGAUAGAACUGAAAGAUAAUCUCGACUCUG